GUAUCAAUAAGCGGAGGAAAAGAAACUAACAAGGAUUCCCCUAGUAACGGCGAGUGAAGCGGGAACAGCUCAAAUUUGAAAUCUUACAGGGUUACCUGUACGAAUUGUAGUUUAGAGAAACGUUUUCGGAUGAAGAUUGGGCAUAAGUCCUUUGGAACGAGGCAUCAUAGAGGGUGAGAAUCCCGUCUUUGAUCCAAAUCCUUCAUUCAUGUGAUACGUUUUCCACGAGUCGGUUUGUUUGGGAAUGCAGACCAAAAUGGGUGGUAAAUACCAUCUAAAGCUAAAUAUUGGCGAGAGACCGAUAGCGCACAAGUA
rnacentral:rRNA from 1 species